GGUAAUACGUAGGGUGCAAGCGUUGUCCGGAAUUAUUGGGCGUAAAGAGCUCGUAGGCGGUUUGUCGCGUCUGCUGUGAAAACCCGAGGCUCAACCUCGGGCCUGCAGUGGGUACGGGCAGACUAGAGUGCGGUAGGGGAGAUUGGAAUUCGUGGUGUAGCGGUGGAAUGCGCAGAUAUCAGGAGGAACACCAAUGGCGAAGGCAGAUCUCUGGGCCGUAACUGACGCUGAGGAGCGAAAGCAUGGGGAGCGAACAGGAUUAGAUACCCUGGUAGUCCAUGCCGUAAACGUUGGGAACUAGAUGUGGGGACCAUUCCACGGUCUCCGUGUCGCAGCUAACGCAUUAAGUUCCCCGCCUGGGGAGUACGGCCGCAAGGCUAAAACUCAAAGGAAUUGACGGGGGCCCGCACAAGCGGCGGAGCAUGCGGAUUAAUUCGAUGCAACGCGAAGAACCUUACCAAGGCUUGACAUAUAGAGGAAACGGCUGGAAACAGUCGCCCCGCAAGGUCUCUAUACAGGUGGUGCAUGGUUGUCGUCAGCUCGUGUCGUGAGAUGUUGGGUUAAGUCCCGCAACGAGCGCAACCCUCGUCCUAUGUUGCCAGCACGUAAUGGUGGGAACUCAUGGGAUACUGCCGGGGUCAACUCGGAGGAAGGUGGGGAUGACGUCAAAUCAUCAUGCCCCUUAUGUCUUGGGCUUCACGCAUGCUACAAUGGCCGGUACAAAGGGCUGCAAUACCGCAAGGUGGAGCGAAUCCCAAAAAGCCGGUCUCAGUUCGGAUUGAGGUCUGCAACUCGACCUCAUGAAGUCGGAGUCGCUAGUAAUCGCAGAUCAGCAACGCUGCGGUGAAUACGUUCCCGGGCCUUGUACACACCGCCCGUCAAGUCAUGAAAGUCGGUAACACCCGAAGCCAGUGGCCUAACCCGCAAGGGGAGGAGC
rnacentral:rRNA from 1 species